UACGUAGGGUGCGAGCGUUUGUCCGGAAUUAUUGGGCGUAAAGAGCUCGUAGGUGGUUUGUCGCGUUGUUCGUGAAAACCGGGGGCUUAACCCUCGGCGUGCGGGCGAUACGGGCAGACUUGAGUACUGCAGGGGAGACUGGAAUUCCUGGUGUAGCGGUGGAAUGCGCAGAUAUCAGGAGGAACACCGGUGGCGAAGGCGGGUCUCUGGGCAGUAACUGACGCUGAGGAGCGAAAGCGUGGGGAGCGAACAGG
rnacentral:rRNA from 1 species